CCUACGGGGGGCAGCAGUGGGGAAUUUUACGCAAUGGGCGAAAGCCUGACGUAGCGACACCGCGUGAACGAAGAAGCCUUUUGGGGUGUAAAGUUCUGUCGGUGGAAAAACGGUACCAGCAAAGGAAGCAUCGGCUAACUACGUGCCAGCAGCCGCGGUAAGACGUAGGAUGCAAGCGUUGUCCGGAUUUAUUGGGCGUAAAGAGUUCGUAGGCGGUUUGUUAAGUCUGAUGUUAAAGAUCGGGGCCCAACCCCGAAACUGCAUUGGAUACUGGCAGACUGGAGUGUGGUAGAGGUAAGUGGAAUUUCUGGUGUAGCGGUGAAAUGCGUAGAUAUCAGAAAGAACACCAGUGGCGUAGGCGACUUACUGGCCUAACUGACGCUGAGGAACGAAAGCCAGGGGAGCAAAUGGGAUUAGAUACCCUUGUAGUC
rnacentral:rRNA from 1 species